rnacentral:rRNA from 1 species
AUGAUUUUGUUGGAACCGAAGAUAAUUUUUGCUGGAACCGGCUCAUGUUUUUGCUACCACCCACCCCACCCAAAAUCUGCUCCCACCGUAUUUUUGCUGGAACCGGCUAACAAUUUUGCUACGACCGGCCAGGAUUUUUGCUGGAACCGGCUCUGCGGUUGCUGCAACCGGCAAGACGACGUGCCCACUGGAGCUGGAGCUAUAGCGCGCUCACCGGCGAUGUGGUUUUUGCUGGAAUCAGCAUAUUUUUUUGCUGGAACCGGCUCGUUACUUUGCUACAAUCAGACUUUGGGGAUUUUUGCUGCUAUGUUUAUUUUUGCUGAAACUAGUGUCAAAUUUUGCUGGAACAGGCUAUUCCUUUGCUACAAGUGGAUUUUUCUGAUUUUUUGCUGCUAUGGUUGUUUUGCUGGAACCGGUUAG